CUGACCCGCCCCUAAGCACGUCGUCGCAAACUGCAGGCCGCCACCGCGCACGCCGCCGCACAGUGCAGGCCGCCGCCGCGCAAGCCGCCGCCCCGCGCACGCAGCACAGUGCAGGCCGCCAAGCUGCAGGUCGCCGACCGCAUCCGUGGUCACCGCCGCACGCCGCCGGCGCGCUACCCUGUGCGACCUACCCCUAACCGACGUGAUUUGGUAUGGGUUCCCCCAGGCUGUCGCCUCCGUAUGCACCCAGCUCGACAUCAUCGGCUCCUCCAACGUCUGAUUGACUGUGUCACGUCGGUCAUGCCGUCAUCCACUGCGUCCUCGCCUCGCCACCAACAGCCCGCUUUUCCGCUCGCCUAAUUCCCAUCGAUGACCUUCGUCACACCGCCUUUCACGCCAUGCGUCCAUGCCAUCAUCCAUCCGUAGCUUAACCAGCCCCCACCGCCACAGAGCCUCUCCGCCCGACGCCUGUCAUCUCAAUUGUGCUUCUCCCCUGGUUUCAGGCAUACAGAAAGCAUUCGAUUGCUUUGAUUUCAGUUGCUUUCUUACCGUGGCAUGAAAAGGGAUAAUAUUUUAGAGUACUUUAUUACAACUUGCAUUACAGAUUAGUGCAAUGCAUAAUUACUUUGUAUGUGUCAGCCAUUCUAAAUAGGAUUGCAGAUGAUGGUAGUGGAUUCAUUGCAAAGUGUACUUUCAUGUUGAACAGGGUGAUGGUAGUGGAUUCACAUUAAUCUAUGAGACCAAUUUCAUUGCAAAGCAUGAAUUGUAUACCAGACCAGCCAUGGCAUCAGAAUAUUUUAUGAUUACAACAUUGUUAAAAAAUGACAUUUGCUCAAUGAUUUCAUUUUGCGACUGUUGAUUCAAGAGGUAUUUUCCUAUCCGCAACACCUGCAUAUCUUCAUUCUGUUUUAGGUGAUUUUGGUGGUAAGUAUUCUCAAUACUAAUUCACAUGUUAAGAUGCAUGCUUUAAACAGAUUUUGUAUAUGUGAUCUGCAAAGUUCGUUGUAUUUUUUAUUGGAGGUAUUAACAAUAUUGUUUAUGUCGUCUCUCGAGUGAGAGGAUCUUUUCUUGAAGGACCUAAAUGUAAUCUAAGUAGAGCAACGACCGUUCCUAGAGACAACAUUUCCAAAUGGAGGAAAGUUCUCACAUUGAACAGUUUGCAUCAGUCUUUCCACUCCAGUUCGGGUAGAUGUGUUAUUCAUCCGUGCUUCAUGAAUGGUGGCUGGGAGAGCGUAGCAAAUACUUGGUGCUCUUUUAUACACGUUAGAUCAGAGUAGAACUAUGUUGCCCAUUACUUAUGGAGUGGAAAACCCAAUCAGUUUGAUUAAAAUAUGUGUAUAAGAGAGAAAUCUAUUAAUCAAGCAUUAGAAAUUACCACAUAUUAAUGGAACGAAAUUGUUCUGGUGUAUUUUUUGCUUAUCGCUGUUAUUUGGGUGCAUCUGUUCAUUUAUUAUUGAUGUCUCUAUCAGUACAUUAUUAGAUCUCACUGUUGAUUUUCUUUUUUACAAUACAAGAUCCAUGUGUUGAUUUUGUUUAAAUAUUUGCAAAACUGAAAAUAUCAUCGAUUAUACGCACUGAGAAAGAUACCUAUGUCAGUUAUCUUCAGAGGAAUUAUAGCAUUAUGUAUAUGUCAGAACCAAAUUAAUUAUAGAAGGGGCGAAAACAGAGUGAUGAUUGGACCAAUUCUCUAUGCCACAAAACAAGAGUUGGCGAAUCUGGGUAUCACUGUUGACAUUUUUUCUCCAAGUAAAUGGUACGUGACACCUUGCAUGGUGCAUGAAGUUAGAAAGUACUCGCAUUUUUUGAAGUUGUCGGUUAAUAGGUGCAUAAAUUUACAUCUAUUGACUGAGAUACAAACUUUAUUUUAUCUUGCUGCAUAGAUAUCUUUCAUUUCUUACUUUUGACUUGGUGACAAUAAUUAUUGUGUUACUUGCACUGUAUUAGCUAAAGUGAGAAGGUAUAAGUGUUUUCCUAAUAACUCAUAUAUACUCUUCUGUUUACAUGCACAUACGUGGCUGAAGUGUUAAAUUUCCCAAAAUGGCUCGACCACUGCUAUUUUUGUAUUAAUAAAAUAUUCAUGCAUGACUACAUUAUAUCUCGCGGGUGCCAAAUUCAUGUUUUGUGUAAUAACGUAUUGUACAAUUGCAGAUAUCGUGGGCAUUAUAAUGUAUCUUAGCCCAAUUGACCUGUUCCCUCCAGGUAUGAGGGAAGUAGCAAUGCUGGAUUCCUAUAAUCAUAUUGUGUUCCUCCACAUUUUUGAGUAACUUGUUGAGCGCCAUAGAGAACAACUGUUGGUUUGGUGAAAAGGAUGCUUAAUUCUUCAUGGCAACCUCUAUGGAGGUUUACCAAGCCUCAAGAUCUUAGGAGUAAAAGAUUUCGAGAAGGCUGAGGAGACAAAUGGUGACAAGUAAUUUCGAAGAUUAUACGUGCGAGGCACGUGCACUUUUACUAGUAGGUAGAAGAGCCAUCUUUACUAUUGUAUUGGAGUUGGGGAUGGUAUUCACUUUGACGUUAAACAUUGGAGCAAUCUCAACCGUCAAUCAUCCAUCAAAUCAUCAUCAAAACGCCUGUCAAAUCCAUGCCGCUCAAGAUGGAUUUUUUUUUAGAAUUUAUUGCGUACCAAUCAAGUCGCCAUAAGUCAAGGAAAUGUCAAACGUGCGUGCACUGAGGG